rnacentral:rRNA from 1 species
GACGAACGCUGGCGGCGUGCUUAACACAUGCAAGUCGAACGGUGAACUCCGCUUUCGGGGGGAUCAGUGGCGAACGGGUGAGUAACACGUGGGCAACCUGCCCUCAGCUCUGGGAUAACUCCAAGAAAUUGGGGCUAAUACCGGAUAUGACCGCUGACCGCAUGGUCUGGGGGUGGGAGGUUGUAUCGGCUGGGGAUGGGCCCGCGGCCUAUCAGCUUGUUGGUGGGGUAGUGGCCUACCAAGGCGACGACGGGUAGCCGGCCUGAGAGGGUGACCGGCCCCGCUGGAAUUGGGACACGGCACGGACUCGAAUGGGAGGGAGCGGUGGGGAAUAUUGCGCAGUGGGCGGGGGCCUGGCGCAGCGCAGCCGCGUGGGGGAUGACGGCCAUGGGGUUGGAAACCACUGCCAGCAGGGACGAAGCGAUAGUGACGGUACCGGGAGAAGAAGCACCGGCUAACUACGUG